AGAGUUUGAUCCUGGCUCAGAUUGAACGCUGGCGGCAUGCUUUACACAUGCAAGUCGAACGGUAACGCGGGGGCAACCCUGGCGACGAGUGGCGAACGGGUGAGUAAUACAUCGGAACAUAUCCAGUAGCGGGGGAUAACCUAUCGAAAGAUGGACUAAUACCGCAUACGAUCUACGGAUGAAAGCAGGGGACCGCAAGGCCUUGCACUAUUGGAGUGGCCGAUGUCGGAUUAGCUAGUCGGUGAGGUAAAGGCUUACCAAGGCGACGAUCCGUAGCUGGUCUGAGAGGACGAUCAGCCACACUGGAACUGAGACACGGUCCAGACUCCUACGGGAGGCAGCAGUGGGGAAUUUUGGACAAUGGGCGCAAGCCUGAUCAGCCAUGCCGCGUGAGUGAAGAAGGCCUUCGGGUUGUAAAGCUCUUUCGGUGAAGACGAAACGGUUCGUGCUAAUAACGCGGACUAAUGACGGUACUCACAGAAGAAGCACCGGCUAACUACGUGCCAGCAGCCGCGUUAAUACGUAGGGUGCAGGCGUUAAUCGGAAUUACUGGGCGUAAAGCGUGCGCAGGCGGUUUGCUAAGACAGGUGUGAAAUCCCCGGGCUUAACCUGGGAAUUGCGCUUGUAACUGGCAAGCUAGAGUGCAGCAGAGGGGGGUGGAAUUCCACGUGUAGCAGUGAAAUGCGUAGAUAUGUGGAGGAACACCGAUGGCGAAGGCAGCCCCCUGGGUUAACACUGACGCUCAUGCACGAAAGCGUGGGGAGCAAACAGGAUUAGAUACCCUGGUAGUCCACGCCCUAAACUAUGUCAACUAGUUGUCGGGGAAGAAACUCCUUGGUAACGAAGCUAACGCGUGAAGUUGACCGCCUGGGGAGUACGGCCGCAAGGUUAAAACUCAAAGGAAUUGACGGGGACCCGCACAAGCGGUGGAUUAUGUGGAUUAAUUCGAUGCAACGCGAAAAACCUUACCUACCCUUGACAUGCUAGGAAGCCCGCAGAGAUGUGGGUGUGCCCGAAAGGGAACCUAGACACAGGUGCUGCAUGGCUGUCGUCAGCUCUGUCGUGAGAUGUUGGGUUAAGUCCCGCAACGAGCGCAACCCUUGCCAUUAGUUGCUACAUUCAGUUGGGCACUCUAAUGGGACCGCCGGUGACAAACCGGAGGAAGGUGGGGAUGACGUCAAGUCCUCAUGGCCCUUAUGGGUAGGGCUUCACACGUAAUACAAUGGUCGGUACAGAGGGCUGCCAACCCGCAAGGGGGAGCUAAUCCCAGAAAGCCGAUCGUAGUCCGGAUUGUAGUCUGCAACUCGACUGCAUGAAGCCGGAAUCGCUAGUAAUCGCGGAUCAGCAUGUCGCGGUGAAUACGUUCCCGGGUCUUGUACACACCGCCCGUCACACCAUGGGAGUGGGUUCCACCAGAAGUAGUUAGCCUAACCGCAAGGAGGGCGAUUACCACGGUGAGAUUCAUGACUGGGGUGAAGUCGUAACAAGGUA
rnacentral:rRNA from 1 species